rnacentral:rRNA from 1 species
GUAGAGUGGCGCACGGGUGAGUAACGCGUAGGUAAUCUACCCUUAUACCUGGGAUAACAUUGGGAAACUGGUGCUAAUACCGGAUACACUUUACUGCUGCGGGGCAGUAGAGGAAAGGUGGCCCCUUCAUGAAAGCUACCGUAUAGGGAUGAGCCUGCGUACCAUUAGCUAGUAGGUGGGGUAACGGCCCACCUAGGCGACGAUGGUUAGCGGGUCUGAGAGGAUGAUCCGCCACACUGGAACUGGAACACGGACCAGACUCCUACGGGAGGCAGCAGUGAGGAAUAUUGCGCAAUGGGGGAAACCCUGACGCAGCGACGCCGCGUGAGUGAGGAAGGCCUUCGGGUCGUAAAGCUCUGUCAGAAAGGAAGAAGUGUUAGAUGGUUAAUACCCAUGUAAUUUGACGGUACCUUCAGAGGAAGCACCGGCUAACUCCGUGCCAGCAGCCGCGGUAAUACGGAGGGUGCUAGCGUUGUUCGGAAUUACUGGGCGUAAAGGGCGCGUAGGCGGCUUUAUAAGUCAGAUGUGAAAGCCCACGGCUUAACUGUGGAAGUGCAUUUGAAACUGUGAAGCUUGAGUAUCGGAGGGGAGUGUGGAAUUCCCGGUGUAGAGGUGAAAUUCGUAGAGAUCGGGAGGAACACCGGUGGCGAAGGCGACACUCUGGACGAAUACUGACGCUGAGGCGCGAAAGCGUGGGGGAGCAAACAGGAUUAGAUACCCUGUAGUCCACGCCGUAAACGAUGUGAACUAGAGGUAGGUGGUGUUGAUCCCAUCUGUCUCGCAGCUAACGCAUUAAGUUCA